rnacentral:rRNA from 1 species
AGCAGCCGCGGUAAUUCCAGCUCCAAUAGCGUAUAUUAAAGUUGUUGCAGUUAAAAAGCCGUAGUUGAAUUUUGGGUCUGGCCGGCGGUCCGCCCUCUGGGUGAGCACUGUUCCGACGCGGGCCUAUCCUUCUGGUGAGUCGGCAUGUCCUUUGUUGGGUGUGUCGGGGAACCAGGACAUUACCUUGAAAAAUUAGAGUGUUCAAAGCAGGCGUAUGCUCGGAUACAUUA